GAUGAACGCUGGCGGCGUGCCUAACACAUGCAAGUCGAACGGACGGAGCGAAUUGCUUGCAAUUUGCCGAGUUAGUGGCGGACGGGUGAGUAACGCGUGGGUAACCUGCCUUAGACAGAGGAAUAACUAUGAGAAAUCAUAGCUAAUACCUCAUAAGCUCCCGGUAUCGCAUGAUACAGAGAGAAAAGAUUAUAUCGGUUUAAGAGGGACCCGCGUCUGAUUAGCUAGUUGGUGGGGUAAAGGCCUACCAAGGCGAUGAUCAGUAGCCGGCCUGAGAGGGUGAACGGCCACAUUGGGACUGAGACACGGCCCAAACUCCUACGGGAGGCAGCAGUGGGGAAUAUUGCACAAUGGGGGAAACCCUGAUGCAGCAACGCCGCGUGAAGGAAGAAGGUUUUCGAUUGUAAACUUCUAUCAACGGGGAAGAAAAGAAUGAACGGUACCCGAAUAAGAAGCCCCGGCUAACUACGUGCCAGCAGCCGCGGUAAUACCUAGACUGCCAAGGCAC
rnacentral:rRNA from 2 species